rnacentral:tRNA from 1 species
CCCUGGAUGGUGCAGAUAAUUAACACACUUGGCUGCUAACCAAAAGGUUGGUGGUUCUAGUCCACCCAGGGG